AUACGUCGGGGGCUAGCGUUAUCCGGAAUUACUGGGCGUAAAGGGUGCGUAGGUGGUUUCUUAAGUCAGAAGUGAAAGGCUACGGCUCAACCGUAGUAAGCUUUUGAAACUAAGAGACUUGAGUGCAGGAGAGGAGAGUAGAAUUCCUAGUGUAGCGGUGAAAUGCGUAGAUAUUAGGAGGAAUACCAGUUGCGAAGGCGGCUCUCUGGACUGUAACUGACACUGAGGCACGAAAGCGUGGGGAGCAAACAGGAUUAGAUACCCUGGUAGUCCACGCCGUAAACGAUGAGUACUAGCUGUCGGGGGUUACCCCCCUCGGUGGCGCAGCUAACGCAUUAAGUACUCCGCCUGGGAAGUACGCUCGCAAGAGUGAAACUCAAAUGAAUUGGCGGGG
rnacentral:rRNA from 1 species